UGAUAACAUAAGGGAAAAUAAUGAUAUUACCUUAUUAUUAGUGUCGUCCAAAACUGGUGCCAGAAGACUCGGUAAGGCCAGAGACACAAACGUUAAUCGUCUUAAUCAGGCGUAAAGGGUUUGUAGGCGGCUUUAAAAUUUACUUAUAAAAAUAAAUAAUAAGUAAAGAAUAAAAGCUAGAAUCAAAUAGAGGAUAUAUGAAAGAAUGCUUAGAGUAGGUCUGAUAUCCUUAGAUACUAAGUAGAAUAUUAAAGGCGAAAGCUUUUUUCCAUUAAUGAUUGACGCUCAGAAACGAAGGUGAGGAAAGGAAAUAGGAUUAGAUACCCAGAAUACCCCUCUCUGUCAACGAUGAAUGGUAGUUAUUAGUAAAAAAAAUUAUUAAUAGCAAUGUUAACACGAUAACCAUUCCGCCUUGUGAGUACAACUGCAAAGUUGAAAACAAAAAAAUUAGUCGGUUUCGGAGCAAACGAAGUGAAGCAUGUUAUUUAA
rnacentral:rRNA from 1 species